GAUGAACGCUGACAGAAUGCUUAACACAUCAGCAAUUGAUUGGUGGAGGACGGGUGAGUAACGCGUAAAGAACUUGCCUCACAGGUAGGGACAACCUUUGGAAACGCAUGCUAAUACCUAAUACUGUGAGAGAGCUUUGCGUCCCAUUAGCUAGUUGGAGAGGUAACGGCUAACCAAGGCGAUGAUGGGUAGCCGGCAUGAGAGGGUGAUCGGCCACAAGGGGACGUAGACACGGCCCGUAUUCCUACGGGAGGCAGUAGUGGGGAAUAUUGGACAAUGGACCAAAGGCUUAUCCAGCAAUGCGGUGGGCACGAUGAAGUUUUCGGAAUGUAAAGUGCUUUCAGUGGGGAAGCGGUACCAACAGAAGAAGUGACGGCUAAAGACGUGCCAGCAGCCGCGGUAAUAC
rnacentral:rRNA from 1 species